ensembl:lncRNA novel transcript
GGUAGAUCCGUACCUGGGCCUUGACUCCACUGUGUGACUUUUGGCAAAGCACCUAAUUCUCUGGGGUUCAAUUUCCCCCGUCUGUCAAAUGAAAACAGUACUCUAGGGCCAUGGUUCUCAACGUGUGUUGCCUGGGCUGGCAGCAUUAGCCGUCACCAGGGAGCUUGUUGGAGAUGCAAAUUCUCGAGCCCUCCCUGAAUGGACUAAUUCUGGGACUCUGGGAGUGGGAUCCAGUAAUCUGUGUUUCACAAGCCCUCCUGAGCCCCGGUUUUGUGGCUACAGCACAGCACGAGGCAGAGGAACGGAGACAGGUCCUCGGAAGCCUCUUUCCAGAAAAUCUAAUUUCAUCAUUGAGAAAUCUUCUGUCUUAAACAGCCUCCACCACCGCCAUAAAUUUACAUAUUCUAUAUGCCGCCGGAACGGAGUGGGCCCUAUUUGCAUAAUGCUGCUGGAGGGGCUCACGCUCCUCUUGAACCUGAAUGUAGCAGGAGCGAGGAAGCAAUUAUUAAGCUGUAGACGUUGGCAGGGAGAGAGCCCUCAGAUGGAUUUCGACUCCAAACCUCAUUCGCCAGGGCUGCUCAUUACCGAAGGCCUGGAUCCCAGGCUGAAGGUGGAUCCCAGGGCUGGGAAAAAUCAGUGUGAAUUGCUUUCUCCAGGUUAUGUCUGCAGCCAGGCCGAGGCCAGAUAUGGAUUGCAUUAAGGAUCAGCCAUGUUUCAAGAGCUGCUGGCUACCCUCCCAGCAUGCCUCUGAUGAAGUUGCAACCUCUGAGGGCAAUUCCUGGUGACAGUAACAAGCAGUGCAAGGUACCAACCAGCAGGACAGCACAAAGUAAAGGAAACAGUUGCAUCAUAUGAAAACACAAAAGCUCACCUAAUUAAGAACCAGCAGUGUUGUAAUUGUUUGUUUGACAGUAACUCCUAAACCUGAACAGGUGCCAACACCAUAACCCAGAGAUCCCACAUUAGGUACACACCUGACAAAAAUGACUGCAUAUGUGCACUGAAAGACAUGUGUGAGAAUGUUCUGGGUGCAUUCCUCUAAUCCCUGAAACUGAGAACUACCCAAAUGUCCAUCAGCAGUUAAGUGGAUACAUUGUGCCAUAUUCCCAGAAAGGUGUACCAUAUCACAGGCUUGGCAAAUCCAGCCGGUGGCCAAAUCCAGCCACCUCCUGUUUUGUAAAUAAAGCUUUAUCAGAC